GACGAACGCUGGCGGCGUGCCUAAUACAUGCAAGUUGAGCGCUGAAGGUUGGUACUUGUACCAACUGGAUGAGCAGCGAACGGGUGAGUAACGCGUGGGGAAUCUGCCUUUGAGCGGGGGACAACAUUUGGAAACGAAUGCUAAUACCGCAUAAAAACUUUAAACACAAGUUUUAAGUUUGAAAGAUGCAAUUGCAUCACUCAAAGAUGAUCCCGCGUUGUAUUAGCUAGUUGGUGAGGUAAAGGCUCACCAAGGCGAUGAUACAUAGCCGACCUGAGAGGGUGAGCGGCCAAAUUGGGACGGAGACACGGCCCAAACUCCUACGGGAGGCAGCAGUAGGGAAUCUUCGGCAAUGGACGAAAGUCUGACCGAGCAACGCCGCGUGAGUGAAGAAGGUUUUCGGAUCGUAAAACUCUGUUGGUAGAGAAGAACGUUGGUGAGAGUGGAAAGCUCAUCAAGUGACGGUAACUACCCAGAAAGGGACGGCUAACUACGUG
rnacentral:rRNA from 1 species